GUAACAAGGUUUCCGUAGGUGAACCUGCGGAAGGAUCAUUACCGAGUGCAGGUCUGCCCCCGGGCAGGCCUAACCUCCCACCCGUGAAUACCUGACCAACGUUGCUUCGGCGGUGCGCCCCCCCGGGGGUAGCCGCCGGAGACCACACCGAACCUCCUGUCUUUAGUGUUGUCUGAGCUUGAUAGCAAACCUAUUAAAACUUUCAACAAUGGAUCUCUUGGUUCCGGCAUCGAUGAAGAACGCAGCGAACUGCGAUAAGUAAUGUGAAUUGCAGAAUUCAGUGAAUCAUCGAGUCUUUGAACGCACAUUGCGCCCCCUGGCAUUCCGGGGGGCAUGCCUGUCCGAGCGUCAUUGCUGCCCUUCAAGCCCGGCUUGUGUGUUGGGUCGUCGUCCCCCCCCGGGGGACGGGCCCGAAAGGCAGCGGCGGCACCGCGUCCGGUCCUCGAGCGUAUGGGGCUUUGUCACCCGCUCGAUUAGGGCCGGCCGGGCGCCAGCCGGCGUCUCCAACCUUCUAUUUUACCAGGUUGACCUCGGAUCAGGUAGGGAUACCCGCUGAACCUAAGCAUAUCU
rnacentral:misc_RNA from 1 species